ensembl:lncRNA
GUGUUAAACAAAUCCAAAUAUAUUUUAUAUUUGAGAUUCUUCAAGGCAGCCACCGUUUGCCUUGAUCACAGCUUUGCACACUCUUGGCAUUCUCUCAACCAGCUUCAUGAGGAAUGCAUUUCAAUGAACAGGUGUGCCUUGUUAAAAGUUAAUUUAGGAAUUUCUUUCCUUCUUAAUGUGUUUGAGCCAAUCAGUUGUGUUGUGACAAGGUAGGGUGGUAUACAGAAGAUAGCCCUAUUUGAUAAAAGACCAAGUCCAUAUUAUGACAGCUCAAAUAAGUAAAGAGAAAUGACAGUCCAUCAUUACUUUAAGACAUGAAGGUCAGUCAAUCCGGAAUAUUUCAAGAACGUUUUAAGUAACUCUUGAAGUGCAGUCGCAAAAACCAUCAAGCGCUAUGAUGACACUGGCUCUCAUGAGGACCGCCACAGGAAAGGAAGACACAGAGUUACCUCUGCUGCAGAGGAUAAGUUCAUUAGAGUUACCAGCCUCAGAAAUUACAGCCCAAAUAACUGCUUCACAGAGUUCAAGUAACAGACACAUCUCAACAUCAACUGUUCAGAGGAGACUGCGUGAAUCAGGUCUUAAUGGUCGAAUUGCUGCAAAGAAAUCACUACUAAAGGACACCAACAACAAGAGACUUGCUUGGACCAAGAAACAUGAGCAAUGGACAUUUCGACCGGUGGAAAUCUGUACUUUGGUCUGAUGAGUCUAAAUUUGAGAGUUUUGGUUCCAAUCACAGUGUCUUUGUGAGACGCAGAGUAGGUGUACGGAUGACCUCCGCAUGUGUGAUUCCCGUGGUGAAGCAUGGAGGGGGAGGUGUGAUGUUGUGAAGGCCCACUUAACAGGCAUGGCUACCACAGCAUUCUGCAGCGAUACGGCAUCCCAUCUGGUUUGCGCUUAGUCCAACUAUCAUUUGUUUUUCAACAGGACAAUGACCCAACACACCUCUAGACUGUGUAAGGGCUAUUUGACCAAGAAGGAGAGUGAUGGAGUGCUGCAUCACGGCAGAGUGAAGGAAAAGCAGCCAACAAGUGCUCAGUGUAUGUGGGAACUCCUUCAAAACUGUUGGAAAAGCAUUCCAGGUGAACCUGGUUGAGAGAAUGCCAAGCGUGUGCAAAGCUGUCAUCAAGGCAAAUAGCGGCUACCUUGAAGAAUCUUAUAUAUAAAAUAUAUUUUGAUUUGUUUAACACUUUUUUGGUUAUUACAUGAUUCCAUAUGUGUUAUUUCAUAGUUUUGAUGUUUUCACUAUUAUUCUACAAUGUAGAAAAUUGUAAAAAUAAAGAAAAACCCUUGAUUGGGUCGGUGUGUCCAAACUUUUGACUGGUACUGGAUAUAAACCCUGGAUUGCUGAUGCUAUGCAUUGGCCAUUGAGAUUCUUUGAAGCCACCGGUCGGCUGUAUUGUCAGUCCCCAGUAAGAGCAGUCUUCCAUAGGAAUUAAUAGAAUUCCACAGUAUUUCAAUUAAAUGUUUCAAGGACAAAAUUACAUGUAUUUCAUUAUGUGUGUUGUUGUAGUGGGGACAGUAACAUUGGUCAUCUCUAAAAAUGUAUACUUCAAUAAAAUGUUUUUAUAUGUUU